UACGUAGGGGGCAAGCGUUGUCCGGAUUUAUUGGGCGUAAAGAGCGUGUAGGCGGCUUUACAGGUCCGUUGUGAAAACUCGAGGCUCAACCUCGAGACGCCGGUGGAAACCGUAAAGCUAGAGUCCGGAAGAGGAGAGUGGAAUUCCUGGUGUAGCGGUGAAAUGCGCAGAUAUCAGGAGGAACACCCGUGGCGAAAGUGGCUCUCUGGGACGGUACUGACGCUGAGACGCGAAAGCGUGGGGAGCAAACAGG
rnacentral:rRNA from 1 species